GAUGAACGCUAGCGGCAGGCCUAAUACAUGCAAGUCGAACGGAUAUAUGUUUUUCGGAAUAUAUAUUAGUGGCGCACGGGUGAGUAACACGUACAUAACUUGCCCUCAAGCGGGGGAUAGCCUUGGGAAACUGAGAGUAAUACCCCAUAGAAUUAUUGGACGGCAUCGUUUGAUAAUUAAAACUACGGUGUUUGGGGAUAGAUGUGCGUCUGAUUAGCUAGUUGGUGAGGUAACUGCUCACCAAGGCGACGAUCAGUAGGGGGCGUGAGAGCGUGGCCCCCCACACGGGUACUGAGACACGGACCCGACUCCUA
rnacentral:rRNA from 1 species